rnacentral:lncRNA from 1 species
AUUUUUAGGGUUGCACUUUACAGAUUCUUGCGAAGGCGGAGUUUUGUGGUUUGUAAUGGAGAAGAUCGAUGGUGAGAUGUUGAUGGUGGUUACAAGAAUUUCGCUGAUUACCGAAGGCCUUGAGGCCCUCGGUAAAUAUUGUUUUUCGACGGUCACAAUGAGAAUUACCAAGGGGCAUGAUGAAAUGUAUUUACCGAAGGCCUCGAGAGCAUUACCGAGGGAUUUAUGGCCUUCGGUAAGAGGCUUGAUGCCUUAAACU